UUUUCAUUAAUUAGGUUGAGGAUGACACUUAUGGUGAUUCUCCUUCUUAGAGAAGAGUUUUGAAAAUUUGUCUACUACCAUUGAUAAUUUGAUGUUAGAAGACAAAGAUGCUAUAAACAACGUUUCUUUUGUAUUAACUCUCCGGUUUUUAGGAGAAAUGAACUUUAGUAAUCUGAAAUUUGACCGGGAGCCGAGGUAAGUUAAGUCUAGUGAAAAGAGGUGUUGACAACUACAAUAUUUCAAAUAGAGGGGAUAUUGGUUUUUUUGGCUAAGCUAACUGCUAAGUAUAUGUGGUUUGUAGAUUAAAUGGUUGGUAUAUAUAGACAUAUUUUCAUGUAUAAAACAACAUAUAUAACAUACAAAAUUCACAUUUAAAACAUGAGAGAAAUAAGUGGGACAUUAAGUGUGCUUAUUCCUUUGUGUGUUCCAAGUUUGAACUAAAAAAACACGCACAAUUGGUCACUUGGACAUUCCUUCAAGUACAAGGUAGCNNAGAAUCAUUUUACUAAUUAAUAAGUGUGGACACGUUUGAAUAAAUAAAUUAAUUAGGACGUGCAACAAUGAAUUUAAAAUAAAUUAACAAUGAAUUGUUCCGAGUGAUAAGAGUCUUUGUCCCUUCAACUC
rnacentral:lncRNA from 1 species